AAUUACUCAACACAAAGCUGCUAUUAGAACAAUAACAAACUCUGGCCCCAGACAGCACUCGGUACCCUUACUCAAAUCAUUGAAUAUGUUAGAUAUUAAGUCGCUGGACACACAUCCUCUCAAGUGAAAACCUCUCAUGAUUUCCACCAUUUUUUUCCGUUUUUCAACUCAAUUUAUGUUUUGAUCUCAUUUAGUAUUAAGUUUAGUGUAAGUGUCCCACACCUUGCUGGAAACGCUACGCGUAUUAGUGGCUUUAGUAUGUACAAGCUCUAUCUAGAAAUCCGAUAAUAUGUUUGUAACUCAUCUCGUAUGUCUGUAUUUUUACGGGAAUAAACAUUUGAUUGGAAUAUUCUGAACAAUGUCAUCCUGGACGUUAAUAGUUAUUAUAAAGCAUAAAUGUUCACACUUCAAUAAGUUAAAGUCACUUAAUUUGUCAUUAACGAGCAAUAUCUUAAGUCAAUUGAAAGCAAAUAUUUGGCAUCAUCCAAUGUUGUGUCAGGAACUUUGGUUUGUUGGUUUGUUGGUCUGUUAUUACAUGUAUAUUGUAGUUGUUAAGCGGCCAUGUAGCUGUUAUUACAUAUAUUGUAUAUUGUAGCGGCCAUGUAGGUGUUAUUACAUAUAUUGUAGCGGCCAUGUAGAUGUUAUUACAUAUAUUGUAGCGGCCAUGUAGGUGUUAUUACAUAUAUUGUAGCGGCCAUGUAGAUGUUAUUACAUAUAUUGUAGCGGCCAUGUAGCUGUUAUUACAUAUAUUGUAGCGGCCAUGUAGGUGUUAUUACAUAUAUUGUAGCGGCCAUGUAGAUGUUAUUACAUAUAUUGUAGCGGCCAUGUAGCUGUUAUUACAUAUAUUGUAGCGGCCAUGUAGGUGUUAUUACAUAUAUUGUAGCGGCCAUGUAGGUGUUAUUACAUGUAUUGUAGCGGCCAUGUAGAUGUUAUUACAUAUAUUGUAGCGGCCAUGUAGGUGUUAUUACAUAUAUUGUAGCGGCCAUGUAGGUGUUAUUACAUAUAUUGUAGCGGCCAUGUAGAUGUUAUUACAUGUAUUGUAGCGGCCAUGUAGGUGUUAUUACAUAUAUUGUAGCGGCCAUGUAGAUGUUAUUACAUAUAUUGUAGUUGUUGAGCGGCCAUUAACAGUUCUUGACUGACAGACCAUUAUUACUUCACUGUAGAUUAUAUUACAAAUGUUGUUCUGUUGUUCCUGUUGUUCCUGUUGUUCUGUUGUUCUGUUGUUCCUGUUGUUCUGUUGCAACAUUUACAAUAGACUGUUGUAUUUGGUUUGUGAAAUAGAUUUUAUUGGUUCAUUAGGAACUUAUUCGUGUUUGGGGAAGUGAAGGAGUGGCUGUUGGCCAUUGUUAAUUGACACUUGAGACUCGCAAAAUGUUAACCAAUGAGGUGAGUUUUAGGGUGAAUGUCAACCAAUCAGCGGCCGAGUGUGGUUGGCUGCUGGUUAUAUAAGUGACGAUGAGACAUAAUGCACUUCAGUGUGUUUUACCUCACUUUUGGUGCACAGUUCCAGACUCGUCUCUUGAGAAUGUUGAUGGUUUAAAUACUGGUGUGGGUGUAGUCUGGGACCACUACAUCACACCAGACGGUUUACUGGUGUUCCUUCACUCAGGAGCAGAACCAGUUGUCUGCACUAGUUGUCUCUUCUCUCCGUACCAGAAGUCCUCCUUCAGGUACCGCGGUGUUCUUUGGUCCCUCAGCCCCAGCUUGGCUCAGCCUUAAAGACUACAGCAAACUCUACACUCCAUCCUGUGGAACACCUGGUAACAUGGUCAGCUGCAUGAUGUGUUUGCAGCGUUACUGGAGUUUGGCAGAAUUAUAACAUUGCGACAGAUCAUGUUGGACCUCUCCAGUCACCUCUGAAGAUGAACACAGGGAAGGUUGCCAACCGUCUCCGGUAAUUAAGACAAAUAUAAAAGGCAGAGACAAGAGGCACAACAGUGGCGUCUGCUGCUUGGUGAGAGGUGGACGUGCUGCUGCUGCUCCACACUUGGUUCUUGCACGUGGCUGUUGCUGCAGCUGGAUAUUGUCACUGUGCCACAGACUGCUGCAGCUGGAUAUUGUCACUGUGCCACACUGUUGCAGUGAAACGGUGCCUUUGAGAGGCGAGGAAAUGGCUAAGGCGGUCUCCCUAAGUGGUAUACAAUCCUACACUGGGCCAGAAGUAAGAGCGAAGAUGAGACAUGAUCCCAGGCUGUAUCUUGGUAAUAAACACAAACGGCCAAAUAUUCAGACCGGGACGUGACAGUGAAGAUUAAAUCCUGCCAAAUUAUCUUGCAGAGUUUUCUUUAGUUGUCAAUGUUCCAAACAUUUUGUUCAAAUAAAAGGGGUCAAUCAUUUUCUUGUGCCUAGGCUUUCAUUUGCCAGCAUGACAAUUGUCAGGUCAUGCCAGUAAUGGUAGCAUAUCUACAAUAGACAAUCUACAUGGAUCAGGGAUUGAGUAGGAUACUUUAUACUUUUAAGUCCUCAUCGCGAAGUAUUAAGGCUAGAUGCCAAAGUUACGGUUAGUGGAAAUAGAUCUAAUAAUUUCUGAAGGCCGUUUUCUCAUUCCGAAGUUUGUAUAUUUAUACUACCAUAAGAUUUAUUGCUAUAAAUGUUCAUACUAGUUUCAGACAUAUUUCAGACUAUACAUGUUAUUUUCACUUCGUUUUGGUUAGUAAAGAAUAAAACAAAUUUGGCUUGUUACUCUCAUAGUUAAAUAAAAGCCAAGCACCUGUCAAUAUCUAACAUACGCGGGUCACUUAGAAAAAGCCAUUUUCAUGAUUUGUCUAUUCUAAGAUUGGCUGGUAUUUAAUAGUGGGUUUCCAGAGGUCACAUUUAAAUUACACUAUUCCAUUUUCUAUACUAAUACCCAGUGAAAUAACAUUGCCUGCAAUAAAUUUUGUUUGCAUGCGCCCAAGUUGGAUGUAUGCAGAAGUGUUUGAAUUUUGAGUUUUUCUAUGCAAGGUAUUGUACUGGGAUAUGAUUUAAAUUAUAAAUUAAUACAAUCAUUUAAUUCGUUGUAUAGCGUUGACAUAAUUGCAUUAUUUAAUUAGCCCGGUUAUAUACAAAUAUCUAAAUCCUCAAAGGCAGUUAUAUACAUUAAAAGACUGAUGUUUGUCCCGUAUUGUUUAAUCACCUUGUCUUUGUGGUUUGUAUGUUACAGCACCACUUGAAAGAUAAAAUAAAAUGCUUUGGCAUAGUGAUUGAAA